ensembl:lncRNA
CAGCGCCUCAGGCGAGCGGCCGCGGCCCCGGCUGCCCCGAGGGGGCGAGCGCCGGCGGCUUCCUCCGCCUCAGCCGCCGCCUGCCUCCGCGGGAUCUGGGGCCGCAGACCCGGCGUGCAGCCGGGGUGGCCUGAGGAGACUCCGGGCCCUGUGGGGGCGGCGGGCGGCGCGAGGAGCCACCCCCGGCCCAGCCGGCGCGCCUGGGAAAACGCGGUGCCCCAGAAACGACUGCGGGGAAUUGCAAACGUCUAGACACCGGAGCGCCUCGAGCAGUGCACCCCUGGGACCUAGCCCUCGGUUUCCACAGUAUUCGGGCAGUGUGCAGCCGUUCCUUGAAAGAUUUUUGAAGAAAAACACAGUUUUGCUUUCUUCAUGGUUGGGUUGUGCCACUCAGGCUUUGACCGGGUCCUCGCAGGGCAUUCGGUGGAAAUAUCGAGUCCCCACCCUCCUCCAUUUCGGGUUGAUUUCACCUUUUAAGGAACUUGAAUACGCUCGUGAUGGAAGAGCUUCAUGUAUUUUUCUCAUCGAAGAUAUUUCGUCCUGCGUGCCUUUUUACUCUGUGUUAGGAAUGGAAUCGGUUGGUUGGUUUUCCAAAUUUAAGAUGAAAUUAUAACUUUGAAAUGCUUCUCACGCUGCCGUGCAC